rnacentral:rRNA from 1 species
UACGAAGGGGGCGAGCGUUGUUCGGAAUUACUGGGCGUAAAGGGCGCGUAGGCGGCGAACCAAGUCAGAUGUGAAAGUCCUGGGCUUAACCUGGGGACUGCAUUUGAUACUGGUUUGCUUGAAUUCGGGAGAGGAUAGCGGAAUUCCCAGUGUAGAGGUGAAAUUCGUAGAUAUUGGGAAGAACACCGGUGGCGAAGGCGGCUAUCUGGACCGACAUUGACGCUGAGGCGCGAAAGCGUGGGGAGCAAACGGG